GCUUAAAAUUCCCCUUUGAUUUCUAGCAGCACAUGUAUAUUGGUUAUACAUGUAUAUUAUAUGCUGAUUGUCAGAAAAUAUUUUAAUAAGGCUUUCAAAAUCGAUCUGAUAAUAAUAUUUUACCAGUAAUUCAGUUUAUUAUGCAUUCUAGUUAGGGCUAUUCCAUUAAAAUGUAUGUGGGAGGGUAGGAAGGGACUUUCAAAAUAUCCCUACAACUAAGAACCAUUUUUUAGAUAAUUUUGCAUAAUGGUAAUAGAUGCAUACUGAAAAAAAGACCCAUGACCCACAUUCAAUAAUUAAACUUCCCUUCCUACCCUCUCACAUUCUAAUGGAAUAGCCCUUAUCAUGGCAAAUAAUAUAUUCUUGAGCAAGGAAAAUCUGUUAACCUGAUCAAAUGAUUUAUUAAAACAUAUCUUUCCUCUUAUAAGUCUUAAUUGCAAGAAAAUUAAGUAACAUGUCUUUAUUUCUUAUAUAAAUAUAUAUUAAGUUCUAGGAUCAGCCAUCUUCACAGGAUCUGAAAGUUUCCUCUUUUUUUUUAAUUGAUAUAAUCUCAUUGUCACGUGUGAUUGACAAAAACAUUCUUCCUUUGCUAGUUUUUUAAAAGUUAUAUUACUAUGAGACUAAGUGCAUUGUUGCUGUGUAGGAUGUUCAACAUUCCCCUAGGUAAAUAAAAAGUAAUAGGAACUGUUUAUGACUUAAAAGUAUUUUUAAUAAAGAUUUUUACAUAAGUUAUGACACAGAUCUAGAUUUGAUUGCAUGACCCUAAUAAAUUUAAUGUGUCCUCUGUUAAAAUUUAUAUUUUUUUCCAGAUUUCUGAGGGUGCCCCUGCCUGAAUACUCUCCUGAAGUGGUAAAAAAAACAUAUUGAAAAUAACUGACAGAGAAACAAAAAUGUGCAGAUAUAUGUAGGAUUUAAUACAUUUAAAGGGUAAUACAAGCCUUCAAUGAGUAAAAUUAUAUUCAGCAAAAAAUACCCUUUAAGUAUUGGAUGAUAUCAAUAAGACAUAAAAACAUUCAAUAAAGAACAAUGAACAUACAGGUGGAUAAUUAGACAUUAAUUUUAUAAAUAUUUAUAUUGCGAUUACAAUAUUAUGAUGGAUCUGUUGUGUGUAUGUGGGUGAAUCCUCAUCAUUGAGGGGCCUGAUGGGUUAUUUUCGUUCUUCGUGAUCGGCGCAUUUUCGCUAUCGUGAUCCGUUUUUCUACGGAUUUUUUUUUUUUAUAUUUUCGUGAUCUGUGAUCAUGGAAAUUUAUUUUCUGUGAAUCAUGAUUGACAAAAAAAUCAACUCGUGAAUCGUGAUGAGACCCCCCAUCAGGCCCCUCAUCAUUAACAAUAAAUAUUUUAAAAUUUAUGGAGGGAUUUUCAUGAGCCACUAUUCUUCUCUAUAACUAUUAAGGAAUUUAAUUAUGAAUUUUGAAAUUAAUUUUCUAUAGUAUUCACUUAAAAACUUGCAUUAAGAAUCAAUUUGUUUCUUAAUUUUGUAAAAACUGAAAAAGUUGGAACCCAAGUAUUUGAAUCGAAUAUCUAUUAUUUUUACACAUGGAAAACUUGUAAAUCUUUCAAUAUAUGACUAAAACAUAACAAUAGUUUGACACAAUGCCUGACUGCAACAUUCUUUAAUAAUUUAAACUUGACUAAAACUAUUUAAAAGUUUUACUCUACAAUAUAUCUAAAUAAAAACAAAAUUGAGCUGAGUAUACAUUAAAAAGAACAAACAAAACAAAUGUACUUGAUGAAAAUUCAUCUCAUAUUUCAUAUUUCACAUACUAAUCUAUAACAGAGUAAUUAUGAGCAAGUGAAACUACAAAAUACCAAACAGUUGUGUAGUGUGAUACAUAUUAAAUAUGUUAUAUACUUUCUUAACUUGUAUUUUAAAUUAAUUCUUUUUAUGUACUAUAUCUGAUUUUUGUUUAUAAUUGUAGAAUCUGGAACCCAUAUUGAAUUUCUUGAAGGCUUCUAAACUAUUCUUGCAGGUGUCUUCUGUUAUAUUUCUUUAUGAAUAUAAAUUCAAACAGUUACUAACUUUAAUUCAUUGAAAUCAAUUUGAAACAAUCCAUUAUGGAAUGACAUUAUAAAUUUGAUGACAAUACACUGUUAUGUCAACAUUUUCUGUGAAAUUUGAUCAGUUGGUAAUUGAAAUUAGUGAAAGAAAAGAUGGUUGAUGAAAAUAUUAUCAUUUAUAUAUGCAGAGGUGGAUUUAGGGGGGGGGGUCAGGGUGCAGGGCCCCUAAAUCUGCCUCUGGAUAUAUAAACGAUAAUAUUUGUGGGAAAAAUUUGGUUGAUUAUAUAGGGAAUCACCGAGGCAUGACUCGAGCAGGCCCCCUCUUAGGCAGUCAGUGGGCCCCCUUGUGAAAAUUUCUGGAUCCUCUUUUGGAAUUGUCUUGGAUUUUUUUUGUUUUUUUUUAUACUUUUUUGCAAAUAAAGAUUAAGUCUUGAAAAAAAAUCUUCUCAUAAAGCAAUGAAAUAAUGUGUUGCUUUAGCUUUACUUUGAUAAGCAAAUACCCAGGGACUUUUAAAAGGAGAAACCUUUAAGGACGGACAUAUUGAUAUAGAGAUUUGAUCUCAGAUACUUAAAUUGUCACUCAAUUACUACACUGGAAUGUACAAACAGGGAAUUGAUAAAAACUGGAACAAAGUUAACAAAAGAAAAUAAAUUUAGUCUCUCUUAAAAAUCCAAUUAAGUAAGGUUAGCCUUGCACGCAUAGCUAAGGGUCAUCAAUUGACUAAUAUAGAAGUAAAUAUAAAACUAACUAACCUCUUAGCUCUACAUGCUUUACUGACCCUCCUAAGUCAAGUGAAUAUGGAAAAAAAAUAUUAUUAUCAAAUUUCCUUAUUACAAAUUUUUCCACUUUUAAAUCAAUUCUUGUAUAAAGAAUAAAUUAGAUACAGUCUGAUGACAAAAACUGUUGUAUAACUGUAUAUAUAAAAAUUCUGAUUUGAUUCUUAUAAUACAGCUAAAAGACAACCAUAUGGUAAAAACAUUAAAAACAAUAUACUGACCCAAUGCUUUCAAUAAAAUGAUAUAACAAUAAAUUAAAUAUUUAUAAAGAAUCAAUCUAUUCAAAAAUAUAACAGAGGUUAUCAUUGCAACAACCAUAAAUAAACUGUUGACACAGGGACAUGUCUAGCCUGUAUCUUAUUUUGAUAGUAACAUUCAAAUGUUGAGAUUAGAAUGACAAUGAUUCAAAAUGUAAACUAUAGAAAUCAAACUAAACCUAUGCACCAUGACAGAAGGUGCAGUGCCACAUAAUCUCCAUAAAAUUGAUAUUUGUCCAUGAAAAUGGCAGAAGAAACUUUUCCAUGAUGUCACAAUUACAUUUAUUUAUAGUUGUUGUUUAUUUUAUGUAUUACCUCAACAUUAAGAGACAUAUAUAAGUGUAUAUCAUAAAUUAAAACUUCAAAUUCCAGUGCAAUUUUUUUGACAACUAAGGCACUCAUCACAACCUAUCCUUUAAUUGCUAAUAUCUAUUUACAGUUUAAGUGCACUUACAAAAAUACUGUUGACAAGAAAAAAUAUACUUGGUACAUAUUUUAUAUAAAGCUAAAUAAACAUGAUUCAAUUCAUGAAAACUGUCAACAAUUGAUGAUGCUGAUUGUAAAUUAGGAAAAACAUUCCUUAAAAAAAAUAAUCAUGUAAAAACAACAAACUGUUGUAAGUAUAUUAAGAAAUCAAUUGCAUAACAAUAUGUUCAACCUAUUAAAUAAAAUACCAGCUAUUGCAUAGUUUCAACUCUCUUAUUUGGCACCAUAUAUGUUAGACUAAAGCAAUCACCCACUUUCCACUUGCAUUUAUAAAUUAAAGUGGAUUGUUAAGGCUGUUAUAAGUGGGUCAGCAAGUAUAGUAUAAAAAUAUUUCUCAAUAGUACAAAUAAAAUGCUCCGCUGGGCGCAGCUUGAUACGACUGCAGAGAUCAAAUCUUGAACAGUUGGGGCAAGUAUGGACACAACAUUCUAGCUUGAUACAUCUGAAUUUGGAUUGUGAUUAAAUACUUGACACAGUAUAGGUUAAGCAGUGUUAAUACAGAUAACACUAUCAAUCCACCAGACAGACUAUCCGGUAAAUUAAAACAUCAACAGUUUCCAAGUACCAUGGCAUAGAACAGAAUUGAGGAAAGAAUCGUUCUAUCCAAGAAAAAUUAUAAAGGAACUGGAACGCAUUACCAUUUAUCACCACCAGUGCAGGUAGUCUUGAAUGUUUCAAGACUAAGGGAGCUGCCAUUUGAUUUUUAUGGGGGGCUAGGAUGAAAAAUGUUGUCCUGCAUUUUUUUUAGUUGUAAUCUCUGUCAUGCCUUUUUAUUUUUCACUCUAUUCGGUCCUGCCUUUUUUUUUUUUUUUAGUUUAUCCUGACUUUUUUUUACAUAAAUUGUCAUCCUACCUUUUUUUUUUGCAAAGUGUCUCAUCCUGCCUUUUUUUUUACUCAAAACUCCUGUCCUGCCUAUUUUUUUCAAAUUUCAUCCUAGCCCCCCCAUAAAAAUCAAAUGGUAGCUCCCUCACCUACAUGAGAUGAUCUAGACCGUCGUCCAAGAUGUUUUUAACUUCACUGUGUAUAGAAUGUAUAGCACAAAUCUUCACAUUAUUUUUCUAUAAAAUAUUUACAUGCGCAUCCAAAAGUGGCAAAAUAAUCAGUUUAUUGAUGGUGGCCUAGUAAUGGAAGAAGUGGAUGAAGGUUUCUGACACAGAAUGAAUGUGGUCUAAGAACUUAAAAGAUUUGAAAUUGGACAUUUAUCUAUUAUGGUCCAAUAUCCAAAAUCUAAAUACAUGGUUAGAUUCGGCAUAUCAAAGAACCCCAAGAAUUCAAUUUUUGAUGAAUUAAUCAAACAAAGUUAAAUUUUGGACCCUUUGGACCUCAAUAUGGACCAAUUUGAUAACAGGGUCCAAAAUCCAAAAUCUAAAUACACUGUUAGAUUCAGCAUAUCAAAGAACCCCAUAUAUUAAAUUUUAGUUGAAAUAAAAUAAAGUUUAAUUUUGGACCCCAUUUUGGACCAACUUGAAAACUGGGCCCAAAAUCAAAAAUCUAAAUACACGGUUAGAUUCAGUAUAUCAAAGAACCCCUCAAAGUUUUUUUUUACUAAAAUCAAACUAAGUUUAAUUUGGACACUUUGGAUCUUAAUGUGUACAAAUUUGAAAACCAGGCCCAAAAUCAAAAAUCUAAAUACACUGUUAGAUUCAGUAUAUCAAAGAACCCCAAGAAUUAAAUUUUUGUUGAAAUCAAUCAAAGUUUAAUUUUGGACCCUUUGGACCUUAAGGGCAUACGAUAGUUACAGUGGAGGUAAUGACGUCGCUAACGUAAAAUAUUAUUUUUCACGACUUCAAACUGUGACAUAUUGGGAAAAGAUGCAUUUUUGGACUGAUUUUCAUCAUUCAGACUGAUUUAUCUUGAAGAUGAGUUCAUGGACCCCUCUUUUGAAAAAUAACAUUUGGCUUGAUUAUGUAUGAAGAUUACUUGUGCCAAUUUUUAUAAACAAAUCACCGAUGAAUUUUUUCAAAUUAGAAUAAUAUACAACAAAAAAUGCCAUUUUUUUUACUAAAAUCAUGAAAAUGUGUUAAAGAUGAAUUAUUUCCAAAGAAGUGUUAUACAAAUUCAAAGCACAUUUAUUUAGAGAAGAUAUCACAGAUGUUUCUACAAAAGUCCGCUUCCAUUUAUCUUUUAACACAAAAAAGUUAGGCAUGUCUCAGGGGCGGGUCCAGGUAAGGGCGUAAUGGGCGUACGCCCCCCCUUUUCCAAAAAAAAAAAAAAAAAAAAACUAUCGUUAUCUGCUUAUAUUGUAUUGAAUAUGGCAAUUUAUCAUAUUCAUUAAUUAAACACAUACUCUGAUUUCUUUUAUACUGAUUCCCCCAUCCGAUGGGUGACUUGGACACCUUUUUUAAACAACCAAAGCGGUAAGUAAAUCUAUACAUGAAAUGGUUGUUUUGUGUGACACUUCCCCAAUGGCCAUUCUACAUCUACCCGGGGGAUACUCGCUAUAUAUAUGAUACCGGGUUUGUUCCGACAAACGGGGUUGCAUUUUCAGCUAAUUGUCUGAAAUGGGGUUAUGUUUUUUUCGCCUUGCAUUGGAAGGGGUCAGAUUUGACUAUCUAGAACGGGGUAUUAUAAAUACAAUGUUACACUAUUGUUUCAGAUAAGGGUGAAUGUUUGGUACCAUUAAAACGUUUAAACCCGCUGCAACUGUUUGCACCUGUCCUAAGUCAGGAAUCUGAUGUUUAGUAGUUGUCGUUUGUUGAUGUGGUUCAUAAGUGUUUCUUAUAUAGAUUAGACCGUUGGUUUUCCCGUUUGAAUGGUUUAACACUAGUAAUUUUUGGGGCCCUUUAUAGCUUGCUGUUCGGUGUGAGCCAAGGCUCCGUGUUGAAGACCGUACUUUGACCUAUAAUGGUUUACUUUUAUAAAUUGUGACUUGGAUGGAGAGUUGUCUCAUUGGCACUCAUACCACAUCUUUUUAUAUCUACUAAAUUGAAAACAACGUUCAAACCUAUGAUUGCAAUUUUUAUACGUGUGCAUGCAAAACAAAUUUCUUGGUAAAAGGGCCUAAAUACAGCACAAACAACAUUUUCCAAAAGACCAAAACAGUGAAAAGGUAUAUUUUAACAAAACGGGUAUAUAUAUAUAUCAAAAGUUCAGAAAAAGCUAUCGUUAAAGAUUUAUUUUCCAUUUUUCAUGCCCAUUUCAUAUAACCUUUUAACUGAAUUUAUAACUUCUUCCAAAGAUUUGAUAUCCACAUGUUAAUCAAUACAUAAUUUGAAUGAUCCGAAGGCAGACUAUUUUCACCAAUUUGUCUAUCAUGGAGUCUGUUAUAAUACUUCAUAAUUUGAUGCUAAAUUGUUGAAAUCCAGGAGCUUCUGACCUUCCCCAUGGACCCUAUACCAGGGCAACCGGAAUUUCGCCUCCUGUUCAUAAAAUCCUGGCCUAGGACUAUUGAAAUGUAAAGUAACGCCCUAUACCCUAGAAUUUGGAAUUUCUCGUUAUUGGUCUACUGCUGUUAAGAUCCAUCCAAUCAUUUUAAUAUACCAUAGACAAUUAGUGGAGAGAAUUUGGCAUAAAAAAUAUCAAACCCUGACACUUUAACUAUAAAAUAUACAUGCACCAAGUCAAAGAACCGUUAUAUUAGUGCAUUUCACAAUUAUUUUAUGUUUUUUAGCCAAAAAAAGGUCCAAAAAAAUUGUAUUCUACGCCCCCUCUUUCAAAUAUCAUGGAAUCGCCCCUGUGUCUUUCCAAAGGAUAGAAAUGUCAUGCAAGAAACCGAAAUUUCCAGUAAAUGUCUAAAAUUUUUAUCCCAUUUAUCUCUAAAAGUAGCACAUGAAGGUCUAUUUUUUAUUACAUAUUUGAAUUGACUAGGUAAAAAAUAGCUUGUAUGCAAACUUUCAUAAAAAAAAUUCACUGUGGGAUCAAAACUGUAUCGUAUGCCCUUAAUGUGGACUAAAUUGAAAACAGACCCCUAAAAUUAAAAAUCUAACUACACAGUUAGAUGAGGCAUAUCAAAGAACCGAAUAAUUCAAUUUUUGAUGAAAUAAAACAAAGUUUAUUUUGGACCCUCUUGACCUCAACGUGGACCAAUUUAAAAACAGGGGCCCAAUAUCCAAAAUCUAAAUACAUGGUUAGAUUAAGCAUACUAAAAAACCUCUAAGAAUUCAAGACUUUGAACUAAACCCCAUUGAAAUUGGUCAAGAAAUAAGCAAUUUAUACAUAGUAUUAAUAAAAGUAUUGUUUUUGGCCCCUUUUUCCUAAAUGGUUAGGGCCAUAACACCCAAAAUCAAUCCCAACCUUCCUCUUUUGGUAUGGAACCUUGUGGUACAAUUUCAUAGAGAUCCAUUUACUUAUACUAAAGUUAUUGUCUGGAUGACUCCGACAACGUCAUAACAUUAUACGAUGGCAAAUAUUUUGCGGUUGUAUAAAAACAAUAAGGCAUCUAAUGAAUUUACAUUUAAAUCUGGAACGGGAACCCAAUUAUUUCCCCUAUUACUUCAAUGCAAUUUUAUCAUAAUUGAUGGGCAGAUUUUUUAUUCCCUAUUAUAUUAGACUGCAAAAUUUCAAUUACUUUCUCAUACUAGUAGCCCCCUUCAUGGUUUCUUGGAGAAGUCUUGAAGGGUCAUGACUGGCAUUUAAGAGAGUAAUACUGUUUUGAGUAUUUAUACUGCCAUUUCAUUAACUUUAUUAACUUCCUGGUUAAAAUUGAAAAUAAAAUUAGGACCAUUUACUUAGACAAUCAUCCACCCUAUACAUUUCAGAAUCACUUAAAAUUUAACAGAAGUUGAAAGUUUAAUGAAAACCCUGUGAAUAUACUACAAAUUUAAGCAUCUUUACAUAAUUUUCAUCUUAUACCUAUAUCUUAUUUAAAAGAUGGUAGAUUUAUAUAGGAAUUAUUUCGUUGAUACUGGAUUGAUAUCCUGUAACUGGGAUCCUAUUACACCUUCCAUACAAAAUGGUUGAGCAUUGGUAAAAAUGAUUGAGCAAUGGUAUUAAAUACCAUUUCAAUAUCUAAAUUAUCCUAUAAGCUUUACUCAUUUACAGUGUGACAUUUUUAUCCACUAUGCACUCCAUAGCAUGCUAACAAUGAGCUUCAUUAUCAUUGGUUAUCUAAUGAGUAAAACCUGCAACAGUUUCCAAUUUAAUUUAAUCUGCUAAAGUUUUCAGUAUCAUCUAUCUACUCAAAUAUCUACAGAAAUUACUUGUCAAUUAAAAUUGUAAUAUUACUUUUAUAUUGUAAAUUAAUUGUAAUGUUUUAUAUUUUAACAUAGUUUGCAUACACAAUUGCAUAUUGCAUUUUAAUAUAAACUCACAACCUUUGCACUUUAAAAAAAAAGUCAUUUAUAAAAGAUGUAUGACUAUGUUGUGUCAGUUGUCAGGCUAACUAGUCAAACAAAAACUCUAUCAUAAUAUAU